rnacentral:rRNA from 1 species
AUUGAACGCUGGCGGAAUGCUUUACACAUGCAAGUCGAACGGCAGCACGGGGGCAGCCCUGGUGGCGAGUGGCGAACGGGUGAGUAAUACAUCGGAACGUGCCCGGUCGUGGGGGAUAACGUAGCGAAAGUUACGCUAAUACCGCAUACGAUCUGAGGAUGAAAGCGGGGGACCUUCGGGCCUCGCGCGAUCGGAGCGGCCGAUGUCAGAUUAGGUAGUUGGUGGGGUAAAGGCUUACCAAGCCGACGAUCUGUAGCUGGUCUGAGAGGACGACCAGCCACACUGGGACUGAGACACGGCCCAGACUCCUACGGGAGGCAGCAGUGGGGAAUUUUGGACAAUGGGCGCAAGCCUGAUCCAGCCAUUCCGCGUGCAGGACGAAGGCCUUCGGGUUGUAAACUGCUUUUGUACGGAACGAAAAGGCUCUGGCUAAUACCUGGGGCUCAUGACGGUACCGUAAGAAUAAGCACCGGCUAACUACGUG